CAGUCGCCACGGUAAUACGAAGGGGGCUAGCGUUGCUCGGAAUGACUGGGCGUAAAGGGCGCGUAGGCGGAUUGUUUAGUUAGGCGUGAAAUUCCUGGGCUUAACCUGGGGACUGCGCUUAAUACAGGCAGUCUAGAGUGAGGAAGAGGGUUGUGGAAUUCCCAGUGUAGAGGUGAAAUUCGUAGAUAUUGGGAAGAACACCGGUGGCGAAGGCGGCAACCUGGUCCUUGACUGACGCUGAGGCGCGAAAGCGUGGGGAGCAAACAGGAUUAGAGACCCCCGUAGUCCCUGUCUCUUAUCC
rnacentral:rRNA from 1 species